rnacentral:rRNA from 1 species
GCAGAACGCGAAGAACCUUACCCACCUUUGACAUGUACGGAAUCCUUUAGAGAUAGAGGAGUGCUCGAAAGAGAGCCGUAACACAGGUGCUGCAUGGCUGUCGUCAGCUCGUGUCGUGAGAUGUUGGGUUAAGUCCCGCAACGAGCGCAACCCUUGCCAUUAGUUGCUACAUUUAGUUGAGCACUCUAAUGGGACUGNCCGGUGACAAACCGGAGGAAGGUGGGGAUGACGUCAAGUCCUCAUGGCCCUUAUAGGUGGGGCUACACACGUCAUACAAUGGCUGGUACAAAGGGUUGCCAACCCGCGAGGGGAGCUAAUCCCAUAAAGCCAGUCGUAGUCCGGAUCGCAGUCUGCAACUCGACUGCGUGAAGUCGGAAUCGCUAGUAAUCGCAAAUCA